GAUGAACGCUGGCGGCGUGCCUAACACAUGCAAGUCGAACGAAGCAUGACCCUUGAGGCCUUCGGGCGGAAAGGGUCAUGACUUAGUGGCGGACGGGUGAGUAACGCGUGGGUAACCUGCCCUAUACUGGGGGAUAACAGCUAGAAAUGGCUGCUAAUACCGCAUGAGCGCACAGUCCCGCAUGGGACAGUGUGGAAAACUCCGGUGGUAUAGGAUGGACCCGCGUCCGAUCAGCUGGUUGGUGGGGUAACGGCCCACCAAGGCGACGAUCGGUAGCCGACCUGAGAGGGUGACCGGCCACAUUGGGACUGAGACACGGCCCAA
rnacentral:rRNA from 1 species